AGUGAACGCUGGCGGUAGGCCUAACACAUGCAAGUCGAACGGCAGCACAGUAAGAGCUUGCUCUUACGGGUGGCGAGUGGCGGACGGGUGAGGAAUACAUCGGAAUCUACUUUUUCGUGGGGGAUAACGUAGGGAAGCUUACGCUAAUACCGCAUACGACCUACGGUUGAAAGCAGGGGAUCUUCGGACCUUGCGCGAUUGAAUGAGCCGAUGUCGGAUUAGCUAGUUGGCGGGGUAAAGGCCCACCAGGGCGACGAUCCGUAGCCGGUCUGAGAGGAUGGUCUGCCCCAGUGGAACUGAGACGCGGUACAGACACCGAGGGGAGGCAGCGGUGGGGAAGAUUGGCAAAUGGGGGCAAGCCUGAACCAGCCGUGCCGCGUGGGUGCAGAAGGCCUUCGGGUGGUAAAGCCCUUUUGUGGGGAAAGAAAAGCAGCACGUUAAUACCCCGCUGUUCUGACGGUACCCAAAGAAUAGGAACCGGCUAACUUCGU
rnacentral:rRNA from 1 species